rnacentral:rRNA from 1 species
UAGGGAAUCUUCGGCAAUGGGGGGAACCCUGACCGAGCAACGCCGCGUGAGUGAAGAAGGUUUUCGGAUCGUAAAGCUCUGUUGUUAAGGAAGAACGAGUGCGAGAAUGGAAAGUUCAUGCUGUGACGGUACUUAACCAGAAAGGGACGGCUAACUACGUGCCAGCAGCCGCGGUAAUACGUAAGUCCCGAGCGUUGUCCGGAUUUAUUGGGCGUAAAGCGAGCGCAGGCGGUUAGAAAAGUCUGAAGUGAAAGGCAGUGGCUCAACCAUUGUAGGCUUUGGAAACUGUUUAACUUGAGUGCAGAAGGGGAGAGUGGAAUUCCAUGUGUAGCGGUGAAAUGCGUAGAUAUAUGGAGGAACACCGGUGGCGAAAGCGGCUCUCUGGUCUGUAACUGACGCUGAGGCUCGAAAGCGUGGGGAGCGAACAGG